ACAUAAUAUCUCAUAAUAUAAUAUAUAUAUAAAACAUACAACUCCUAUCCCUCUUACAAAAUUGUAAUAACAAAGACGAGGGAAGAAAAUAAUCUAAUUAAUUCAACAACAUAUAAACCGAACGCAGUAUAACUUCUCUUAAAGCUUCUUCUUCUGGUUCCUGAAAAAAAUGAAACUGAUAAACCA